CGCCUCUCCUCAUGAUCAUCAUCCUCCACCUUCAUCCAUGAACAACAUGAUGCUGCAUCUCAUCCCACAGGCUGUAAUAUUAUGUUAUAGUGUGAUAACUAGCGCUCAGGACGAAUCCAACCUGACUGAGAGGCCUUAUGUGGUCCUGCAGAAGCAGAAUCUAGUGACAUUGGGGAGUGUCCUCGCUGUUCUGCUCCUGCUGAUGAUCAUCAUGGCUGUCUGUGUCUACAAACCUCUGACUCGUCGCUGAAACUGGACACAAACAUCAACUGUGAGGGUUAUCUUCUGGUACAAGCUGCAUUGCGAAGUAGAGCCCAGCAGAUGGCAGUACAGCCAGGCAGCUAUCAGCAGCGACACCUUCUGAUUUGGAAGCCUAAAAUAAAAUAUGCUGCGACUGAACAGCUAAAAAUGACACAUUUAUUUGCAGAUUGUAGUAAAAGCGGAAAAUAUAUGCACCUAACAUCUGUAUCCGCCAGUUUUAGCAAUGGUUAAAGUGAAGCCGUCAUCACUCCCUAUCAAAACAGGCUCACAUUCAAGGAAAUUGCUGCCUCCAAUAUUCAGCUUGAAAAAAACAUUUUUGCUUAUUUUCAAAAAGUUCAAGCUGACAGAUUGAACUACAGCAAAGAAGACCUAAGGAUAUCAAAGAUUAUCAAGCAAGGCUUUCCUCCUUAAAGGUACACCACAGGGUGGUGUUGCUACCAGUGUAGAGCUUGCUCAAAAUUGGCAGCAGAUGGGUGUGAGCAUGUUUGCAUGCACUGUGAGACAAAGACUGUUGGAUAACGACCUUGUAACAAGUAUGGCUGCAAAGAAGCUGCUUUGGUCCAAGGAAAACAUCAAGGCAGACUGGGUUUCAACAGGAAGUACAAGGAGUGGACUCCACAGGACUGGAACAAAACUAUUUUCUCUCAUGGAUCCAUCUUGUCUACGAAAUCUGGAAAAUCUUUAGUCCAGAGAAGAAAGCAGAAGUGGCAUUAUAUUGUGUCAGCUGCGGCAGAUCGUAAUAUUGUCCUCCUUCCAGCAUUCCAAGCACAUUUCGAUGAUAAUCAGGAUGUUUUCCAACAUGACGGAGCACCGAGCCACAAGGCACAAAUGAUCAUGAAGUGGCUCAGAAAUUAUGGUGUUGAAUAUUUGAACCUGUGGCCAGAAAUGUGUCCAGAUCUUACUCCUGUUAAGAAAAUGUGUUAAUUUUGCAAAAAUAAUAACUAUGGACCUUUGUGAGACUCACCUAUUGCAAAAAAAUAAAAAAUCUUUCUAUUUUACAGCAGAUUGGCAGUGAACAGCAACAUGUGGGGGAGGGUCUAUGCUAUACUCCAUGGAGCUUCAGGAAAAACUUACUCUGGUAUUUUAUUUCUCUGUUGCCUCAUUAAAAGGUUUUGGGACUGUAGAAGUAAUUGGGCAAAAACUUCUAGUGGUUUAGCCCUACCUUUAUAUAGGUGACAUAAUAUGGGAUUUUGUAAUUGUUUUGCUCAUAAAAGGCACUGAAAUUUAAGAAAUUAGAUUAGAUUCAUAUGUGAUUAUAGGACUAAUAAGAAGAAAGGCCAUGUUAACUAUAACCAGAAAUAAUGGCCAAUGAAUUUUGAUGACUGGCUUGAUAAGCAGCUAUGAAUCCAAUGAUUUAAUGAUUUUAACUCAUUUUCUGCUGCCCACAAAAGUUUUUUAAUUUGUUUUAUGAUUAAAAGUGUGGAAACAUGUGAAUUUAUUUAUUUUAACCUUCUUAAAAAUUCUGGCUAAGUAGAGAAAAAUGUUUAUUUCUCACUCUCAUUAAGAAAAACAAAAAGAUAAAUCUCUAAAAUUCUGAGAAAUAAAAAGAUUUUACGUAGCUUUAUAGUUGAAUUUGCCAUGACACAUCUGAGAGAUUUUUUUUUUAUUUUUACAAAUUACCAAUCACAGUGAUCAGUGCUUCUUUAUGUGCUAUGUUGAAAUGUGUUUAUUACUGAUUCAUUAAACUGUAAAAAAUCUUUUCUGUUCAAUCUCGUGAGACUGUGCACUAUCAAAAUAAAUAUUGCAGAAAAAGAUAUCUACAGUAAAUUUUACGUGGCUUUUAAUCAUAUGGAACUUGUUUUGUUUUUAAAACACUAUGACCACAACCAUUUGUGUGUUCUACUGGGGUUUUAUGUGACACAAAGUAGUGUGUAAGAGUAAUAUGAAAGAGAAAAUGAUGGUGUUCUUAGCUAUUUGUUUUGUUAAAUCAAUAGCCUGUGGGCCACAACUAUUUUGAGAUAUCUGUGAAUAUAAUUUUUUUGGACUGGACUUCAGGCUGUCAUGAUUGGAUAUGUAUCGAUCUAAAUCAUUCCAUUUUACGUAGUUCUUGGUGUGUGUUUAUGGUGAAAGAUUAGCCUCCACCUCUGUCUCAAGAUGUCUGCCCCCUUUAACAGGCUUCCUUCUGGGAUUGCCAUUUAUUUAGAGAAUGAGAUUUAAUCUGAGAAUAAAUAAAACACAGAUGGACUCUAUUAACUGGGUCCAUCAAAUAUUUUUUUAAAGUUAGAAAGCGUUCUUCACAGCUGAUGAACCACUUUGUCUUGGUCUGUCACAUCAAAUCUGCAAAACUUUGAAGUCUGUAGUGGUGGAGACUACAAGUGAAAAUGAUUAAGAGAAAGCUACUGCAAGGAUCUGCACUUCACACUGCUGACCAGGUUCAGGCUGAAGAUAUGAGACUUAAAUAGACUUUUAUUAUACUGAGCCAGUUGUUCAAAACUUAAUUGAGAAAAGAAUGAAUAAGAGAAACAAAAAAAUAAACCUUUUUUCCCCCUGAAAUUA